UUAUACUGGAUGAUAACUUGUUUAUUUGAUUUGUGCUUGAUGUACAUGGAUGUUUAUGGUUGAUGAUUUUCUUUGAAACCCUAAUGUAUGAACCUUAGAGGCAUGAACCCUAAUGACUUAAACCCAUGUAUGAGAUGAAAUUUUGUUAUAAAAUUAUACUUUUAUGUGCUUUGAACUUGCUCCUAAAGAUUACUUUAGUCUUGAUGCAUGACAUAAUUGUUUAAGGUUUAACAUGCUUGUAUGCUCCUUAUAGGUCCACUUUUAAAA
rnacentral:lncRNA from 1 species